GAUGAACGCUGGCGGCGUGCCUAAUACAUGCAAGUCGAGCGAACGGACGAGAAGCUUGCUUCUCUGAUGUUAGCGGCGGACGGGUGAGUAACACGUGGAUAACCUACCUAUAAGACUGGGAUAACUUCGGGAAACCGGAGCUAAUACCGGAUAAUAUUUUGAACCGCAUGGUUCAAAAGUGAAAGACGGUCUUGCUGUCACUUAUAGAUGGAUCCGCGCUGCAUUAGCUAGUUGGUAAGGUAACGGCUUACCAAGGCAACGAUGCAUAGCCGACCUGAGAGGGUGAUCGGCCACACUGGAACUGGGACACGGUCCAGACUCCUACGGGAGGCAGCAGUAGGGAAUCUUCCGCAAUGGGCGAAAGCCUGACGGGGCAACGCCGCGUGAGUGAUGAAGGUCUUCGGAUCGUAAAACUCUGUUAUUAGGGAAGAACAUAUGUGUAAGUAACUGUGCACAUCUUGACGGUACCUAAUCAGAAAGCCACGGCUAACUACGUG
rnacentral:rRNA from 1 species